GACAGAGGGGGCAAGCGUUGCUCGGAAUCACUGGGCGUAAAGGGCGCGUAGGCGGGUCCGCAAGUCGUUCGUGAAAUCCUUCGGCUCAACUGAAGGGGGUCGGUCGAUACUGCGGGUCUUGAGGGAUGCAGAGGAGACUGGAAUUCCCGGUGUAGCGGUGAAAUGUGUAGAGAUCGGGAGGAACACCGGUGGCGAAGGCGGGUCUCUGGGCAUCUCCUGACGCUGAGGCGCGAAAGCUAGGGGAGCGAACGGG
rnacentral:rRNA from 1 species